rnacentral:lncRNA from 1 species
GACGCCGAACGGACAGCACCUCCCUUGUCCGCCCAAGGCUAAAAUAACGAGAUCAUGUACAAACAAGUGCCCAGGAAAACUUAGAUACAUACAUGAUCAAUGAAAGCGAGUAAUUUAACAAGUAUACACAAGAGCAAGUAAAUAAUACCACAAGUAAACAAACGAGAGAGUUCUAUCUAUUACAUCACAUUCGACCAUUUAUAUUUUUUGAUUUACAUUUUUAUCUCCAAAAUGAAUACAAGUUCAUCUCAACAUCUAGAUACAUAUGUAGCUCUCCAAAAUCCUUUCCAACAUAUACAUCACCUAUGUACACGAGGGUACUCUAGUACAAAAGGAAAGCCACUACUAGCUAACUAGGGCGCUAUGCCCUUACCGCGAUCCUCCCCCAGAGCGCUCGAACUUGGCCCUGCAACAAAGUGGGGUGAGAACUAUAUAAAUAUAGUUCCCAGUGGGUUCGGCCGCCGACUCCGCCAAUCUUCCCACUAGGUCUAAGCAGGCAUAAGUAGAUAGAUAGAUAGAUAUGCGGAAAUAAACUACUACAUAGUAAUAAAAGCUGCAACAUACUACUAUGCCUCGAGAAACAAGUAAUGAAUGAAUAUAGCCAUGUAUUCCACUAACAUGCUACUAGNCUAGGUCUAAGCAGGCAUAAGUAGAUAGAUAGAUAGAUAUGCGGAAAUAAACUACUACAUAGUAAUAAAAGCUGCAACAUACUACUAUGCCUCGAGAAACAAGUAAUGAAUGAAUAUAGCCAUGUAUUCCACUAACAUGCUACUAGGCCUCUACAUCAAAUAUGAAUGCAACAUUUACUAUGCUCAGAAUGCAUAUCUCUCAUAAAGUCAUUACCCAAUCCAUUUGGCUAACCCGAAGGUUACACCCCGACUCAGAUCUCAAAUCUCAUAGGUGAAGAGCUACCCUGCUCUUCGCACGACUCACAUCUCGAAUGCAAUAGGUAAAGAGCUACCCCGCUCUUCACCCCGACUCAGAUCUCCAAAUCUCAUAGGUGAAAAGCUACCCUGCUCUUCGCCCCGACUCACAUCUCAAGUCUCAUAAGUGAGGAGCUACCCUGCUCGUGUCCCACCCGGUGAGGAGCUACCCCGCUCGUGUGACAACUCCGCAGUGCACUGCUUGUGUGGAGCGACCACCCCAAACUUAAAACAAACUAUGUGAGUAUGAUCCAAUCCUCGCCAACUGAGGAUACCUUGUCAACUAGGGUUAACAAACACUCCGGAAUCCACCUAUCCCUAUGUUCAAUGCCAUAGUGUCUCAACUACACUAAGUGUCACGCCCCGACACCCGCCUAUUUGGUCGGAUUCGGGCACGCAAACAGACCGCUGAACGGACAGUCUUCCCUGUACAUUCAAGGUGUCGCAAUCAAUACAAUACACGAGGUUCUAACUAGGAACAGUAUUCAAGCAAAGAUUGCAUAAGGAAGUAUCAAAUAACAUAAAACAACUAGUUAUUACAAGCAUUCACCUUAGAUGCAUUUUACAUCACAAUUACAUAUUACAUUUUUCAACUUCCAAAUACAAUCCGAGUUGCUACAAUUUAUUACAAGUUUGUUUCAUUCGUUUCCAACCCCUAAGCUAGACCACCUCGGGGUACCGCUAUCUCUGGUCUCGGGGUAGGGCGCUAUCUACGGAGCUACGCCCUUUCCUCACGCCGCCGCGCCGCUCACAUGUGAACCUGUACCCCCAAAAACAACACGGGGGUGAGAACUAUUGUCCAUAGUUCCCAGUGGGUACAGCCACCCAAGGAAAAAGCUAGACCCACCAGGUCCGAAGGAGGCACUGCAACAUGUUAGUCCAAAAACAUCCACAGAUAUAUAUAUAUCAUCAUGUAAUUAUGCAACUAACAAAUAUCAUGCCUCACAACAUGCAAUAUGAACAUUAUGCAACUACGCAAUCAACUAGUAGAUCCAUUGAUACUACAUUCAAUUUUGUUAUCCAUGACUGAUGUCAUCUAGCUUCUAAGGUUUCUACUACCUUAGGUUCACAACUUAAGUCCAACUUGCUACUAAGGUUCCACUUCUUUAGCUCUUGCCAUUAACACUUGCUUUUAAAGGUUUCUACUACCUUAUCCGAGCUAUCCACCCGACUCGGUCUCGAGUCAAUCAUUCGCGGACUACGGCGCACUGGCUGCUACAACAGCCCACUGCGCUGAUUGACUUAGCCAUCUGGCGGCGAAAUCGUCGCACACGCCGAACAAUGGCUUUAAGUCAAUCCUGAUGGCAUAAUCCACAAGCCGGCUUAACCAUCUGGCGACGAAAUCAUCGCACAUGCCGAACAAUGGUUCAAGCCUCCGGGUGGUGAACUCUGCGCACUCACCCGUUCCCCUUGGUAUCAAUCUCGGCGGCGAAAUCGUCGCACACGCCCUAACCUUGAUACCAAGGUCACGACAAGUCCUGGGAUUCCGGAAUCCACUUUCCACAUCUCACGGGUUACCUGCAACCCUAUAAUGUCGACCUAUCUAGGUUCGACCCAUAAACAUCCUAGUGGCUAUUACCACUAUAGUCCACAACCUAGGUUCAACCACGUUAGGUUUUAUGUCAUCUCUACCUAGAUCUCGACUCUAGGUUCACUUGUUCAACCUAUGUUCACGACAGUAGGUUCAAUGCCAUUCAAUCUACUUGAUAUUCUACUUGUCCAUUUCGAGUAAUAUAGCCCACAUGCUCUUGUUUUCCAAUGUCAACUUCUCUAAUCAACCUAGAGUUAUCGACCAAGUUCACAUCUAUGUGAAUCGAGCAUAUUCUACACAUGUCAACAUGCAAUGUCAUCUAGUAUAUCCUCACAAUGUUAAUCAUGCAUUCAUCUAGCAUUUCUAUGUUAUGUUCAUCAUGCAUCCAUCUCAAUGGUAGGUAAUGACAACCAAGCAUAAUAAGAUUCAUGCAUCUACAUUAUCAUAUGCCACCUACCAAUCAUACAUAUAUGCAUUUCAUCUAGCAUUGUCACAAUAUAAUCAUCAUGCAUCCAAUGGUAGUCUAAUAUAGUAUUUACCUCAUGCAUUCUUAUGUUAUACAACUAGCUACCAUUAUAUGCAUCAAUUAAUAAACAUCACUUCGCUUCGACAUGGAAGCGAGCUAAACAUUUCGGUGAGCACAACCCACCUCAAAUGGCUUUCCGAUUGCUUGUAGUCACUUGCAAUCAGCCUCCCGCGGCACUCGUUGUCCGGUUCGGCCCGAUCUUGCGAAUAACCACCAACCGUACAUCAAUCCGCGGCCUCGGAUUUUAAAGGUCUAUAACUUGAUGCCACGAUGCUAGGAAUCCGUUUUCGUGAUUUUUGGACGCCACCUCGGCAUUCUAAGCGAAAAUGAAGCCAAAACAUCCUUUUCUUCAAUAUCUUCAUGUAGGCUCGGGGAAUCGCCGAACCGACUUCACCAACGCGUCAGAAUACCUAGCAAUUUGGUUUACAUGGGUCUAAUUUAGAUCAAACCCUUAUAUUUACAAAAACCCUCUUUAGAACUCUAGGUUUCAUAUAUUGCAAGAAUUCAUCAUAUAGCUUCUUGAUUCAUGCAAUAAUCCAACAUCCAGCAUCUAAGGGUUCCAUCAAAACCAAUUCUAGAGCAUAUAAAUAAAGCCCUAACAAUCUACCAUUAAAACUCCAAAAGCUUACCUCUCAAGCUUUCUCGAAACACAAGGAAGAAGAUGAAGAAGAUGAAGACUCACUCCUUCAAGCUUUCUUCUUCUCCUUCUCCUUCUUCCUUUCCACCUUGAAGAGAGAGAGAAAAGAGCUUUAGAGAGAGAGAAGGAGAGCUUUGGGUUCUAAUGGUGUGAGGGAGAGAGGAGAAAGAGCUACAAAACCCCUCUUUUAACUCCCACUCAGCACAAUUGCUGAAAACCCCCUCAACUUCUCCAUUCAUGGACAGCUCGAACUGGGUUGCUUUCGGGUACGGGGACCGGUCCUUGGCUGGAGGGACCGGACCCCGUAGGUCCAAAACUCCAGCAUUUUUAGGACUAAGCCAAAAUUUCAGCCUUUUCAGCUUUUGGUCCGCUUUCGUUCGUUUUUGCUCGUAGGGCCUCCAAUUCAUCUCUAAUCGUACUGAGACCACCAAUACAUGUUUUCGAGUGCAUUUAAACCAUCUUUUUAUCCACGCCUUGCCGAAUUUCGGCUAAGGUCCAAUCAUAGCUUUUUGGGUUUCGUUUUCGCGUCCGAUACGUACCGAAAACACCCGAAGGCUUCCGAACUCCACCGAAACCAUUCUAAUGGCUUUCCAAACUAACAUACACCGUAACUUCAUAAUUAUAGAAGUUCGGUAUGUUACACCCUUCCCUUCUUAAAAAGAGUUUCGUCCUCGAAACUCAAAUCAUUCUUUAAUUCGAGUUAUCGAGCAACCGAGGGUACCAAUGCACUUUUCCACUCCGGAGUGACCUUAUCCAUAUCGGAACUAUCCAAAGGUCCACUACGAAAAAUGUGAGACCAAACUCACUCACAUUUGCUAAGCACAACACCGAAAAUGCAUUACGGCUCCGCAAGUCUCGGUGGCAGCGUAAGUCGACGCUCGACGACUCUACACGCUUCAACACCACUCGCUACCAAAUCCUGGGAACACACUCCGAUUCGAUCAUCAACAUUGCUUAGAAGCAAUAUCGUUGGUAACUCGACCAAUCGCGAGUGCUCCGAUCAUAACCGGAUCUUUGCUCUACUACGAGAUGGCACACUCCGGCACAUCUCCGAUGUCAAUCCUCCAGAGAGCACUAUCUACAAAUCUGUCACGCCCCAAGCUCCGCCAAUUUGGUCCGAUUCGGGCCACGUCAAUAGACGCCGAACGGACAGUGCCUCCCCUGCCCGCCCAAGGCUCUAGCAACAAGUAUAAUUAAGCAAUCAAACAAUGAGAUUUGCAAUUAUACAAGGCUUGCACGAGGGCAAGCAACAACGAGAAUGAAAGCUCUAAUCUACUACAAGCAACCACAUACAUAAUAUUUCAUUACAUUUUAACCAAAUACAAGUAAACUAAUACUAUUACAUUCAUUUUUACUUUCAUUCAUAAUUUUUUUUACAUCAUAAUCAUCCAACCCCAAAAUAUAUGAUUGUUUACAACUUUUACAUCACUUGAUCAACAAAAUAAAAGUUGAUACAUGAACAAAAGGGAAUGACUAAGAUGUAAAUACUCCGGUGGCCACUAGCUAUGGCGCUAUACCCGUGCCUCGAUCCUCCGCCGCCCCGCUCGCGCUCGGAUCUGUAGGGUUAGUGGUGUGAGAACUACAACGAAGUUUCCAGUGGGUUCGGCCACCGACCUCGCAGACUUACUCACUAGGUCUAUUUAGGCAUAAGUAUUUCAAAGAAAGAAAAUAGCAAACCAAACUAAUGCUAAUACUAUGCCUGCAAGAAAACUGUCAACAGAUAGAUAAUCAUAUGUAUGAUGAAUAUGCAUGCAUGCUCUUCCACUUUUGCCUUGGCUUGUACCCAAUUAAACCAGUUAACAUUUGUUAACUCCAACAACUCACAACUCAAUAUCCCGUCUACCGGAGGAGGCUCCAAGCACUACCACCUGAGGGACCAUCAACGGGGCACUCUCCCCGUGGUGUCUACACUCCGGAGUACACAGCUUGAGGAGGAGCUGUCACGCGCCAAGACCGCUACCAAUUUGGUCUGGUUUGGGCGUGUCGAACAGAUGCCGAACGGACAGCACCUCCCCUGUCCGCCCAAGGCCAAGCAAUGAGAUCAUGUACAAGAAUUUGCCCAGGAAAAGAAAUUUAAUACAUACAUGAUCAAUAAGAGCACCACAAGUGUUAACAAGUAAGAGCAAGAACCACAAGUGUACAACAAGUGAAUAAAGAGAGAUAUUCUAGCUAUUACAACCAUUCAACAUUAAUUCUUUUAAUUACAUUUCGAUCUCCCAAAAUGUAAUACAUGUUCACGUCCAAAAUACAUAAGUAGCUUUCCAACAUCUAUCCAAAAUAUACAUCAUCGUCUAGUACACGAGGGUACUCUAAAUGCAUAUAGGAAGCUACUAACUACUCUAGGGCGCUAUGCCCUUGCCGCGGUCCUCGCCCGGCGAACUCGUACUCGGCCCUGCAACAAAGUGGGGUGAGAACUAUAUAAAUAUAGUUCCCAGUGGAUUCGGCCGCCGACUCCGCCGAUUUUUCCACUAGAUCUAAGCAGGCACAUAUAGAUAGAUAGAUAGAUAGAUAGGUAGAAAUAAACUGCAACUAUAUCUACCCUGCCUUCAAUGAUAAGCAAUGCAUGCAAUGUCCAUUUUGCAAUAAUCUUACUAUCAUGCUAGUAUAAUGUCAUGGGUACAUAUGCAACAUAGUUAUGCAAUCUACCAACAUACACUAUGUCUACUCAAGUAUAAAUGCAAGUCCACUAUGCCAUUCAUGUUCUUUACUCAAUCUGCUUGGCUAACCCGAAGGUUACGCCCUCGACUCACUUUCAAUCUCAUAGGUGAGGAGAAUCUGCACUCGCACACCGAGACCGUCUGCGGGACAACUAUGUCUGCCCCUAUCGUGAAGUACUCCGGAGACCACUACUUGAGUGGAGCGACCACCUCAAGUGUAAACAGACUAGUAAGUAUGAUCCAAUCCUCAAAAGAGGAUACCCUAUCUACAAGGGUCAUAGUGCCUCUGCUGCACAAUUCAUAAUGCAUAAUUCAUUACUCGGGAAUUCUACUAUCCCUAGAAUCAUGUCACGUUUACUACUCUAGAUUUGAUGCCAAUCGUUCAAUCUUUGUAGUAAAUGUUUUCUACUAGUUGACAUGCCACUCGUUCAUGUUUAGUGUUUCUACUACAAUAAUCCAAAUGCCACUCUUCUAGGCUAUUACAUGUCCAAGUUCAUCUCUUUAUGCCACUAUAGGAUUCCUUGUCACAAGACCCAAUCCUCAUGCAUUCCUAGUGUCACGCCCCGAGACCGCUACCAAUUUGGUCCGGCCCGAGCGCGUCGAACAGACGCCGAACGGACAGGACCUACCCCGUCCGCCCAAGGCUAACCAACAGAUCAUGUAUAAGAAUUUACCCAGGAAUCAAUUCAUAAAUACACGAUCAAAAGCACCACCAGUGCAACAAGAGAGAAGAACUAUCUAUUACAUUCAUUUGACUUAAUACAUUCAAUUACAUCUUUUACAUUCUUCCAAAAUAUAAAUACAAUCACUCCACCUUACCCUAUACAACAUCUACUCUCAAAUACAGAAAGGGUGAUG